UACGGAAGGCAGCAGUGGGGAAUAUUGCACAAUGGGCGCAAGCCUGAUGCAGCCAUGCCGCGUGUAUGAAGAAGGCCUUCGGGUUGUAAAGUACUUUCAGCGGGGAGGAAGGCGGUGGAGUUAAUAGCUUCACCGAUUGACGUUACCCGCAGAAGAAGCACCGGCUAACUCCGUGCCAGCAGCCGCGGUAAUACGGAGGGUGCAAGCGUUAAUCGGAAUUACUGGGCGUAAAGCGCACGCAGGCGGUCUGUCAAGUCGGAUGUGAAAUCCCCGGGCUUAACCUGGGAACUGCAUUCGAAACUGGCAGGCUAGAGUCUUGUAGAGGGGGUAGAAUUCCAGGUGUAGCGGUGAAAUGCGUAGAGAUCUGGAGGAAUACCGGUGGCGAAGGCGGCCCCUGGGACAAAGACUGACGCUCAGGUGCGAAAGCGUGGGGAGCAAACAGGAUUAGAUAC
rnacentral:rRNA from 1 species